rnacentral:rRNA from 1 species
GACAGAGGGGGCAAGCGUUGCUCGGAAUUACUGGGCGUAAAGGGCGCGUAGGCGGGAUGGCAAGUCGGUCGUGAAAUCCCUCGGCUCAACUGAGGAUCGUCGAUCGAUACUGCCGUUCUUGAGGAUUGCAGAGGAGACUGGAAUUCCCGGUGUAGCGGUGAAAUGCGCAGAUAUCGGGAAGAACACCCGUGGCGAAGGCGGUUCUCUGGAACGCAACUGACGCUGAGACACGAAAGCGUGGGGAGCGAACAGG